rnacentral:lncRNA from 1 species
UCCUGUUGUGCCCCUCCACACUUGGCACCACCGAGGCACGAAAGUACCCAGAGAAGAUCGGCCAUGUUCUAAGUGGCUAACCAGCAAGGUAAUUUUCUGCUCUGAAGUUCUCUCAUGGAAUGUGGGUGGAAUCGAUUGGCGGAUGUGCUAGGUGGAGUGCCAGUGGAUGGCCAUGUUAGUGGGCAGAACUCCUCUCCUACACACACAAACUUGGGUUUGGCAAGGAACUGGGUCAAUACUACUAUCCUUUGGCUUUGCAAUGGUGAUUUAGGUAGUUUUGUUUUUUCGAAUCAUGGUGGUUUAGUUAAUUUGUUAACAGGCGCUUCAGUUAGGACUAAUAGUCAAGAGAGGUCAACUGGAUUGAACUUAACAGAGGACAAUGCAAUUUUGUUAUAAUUGGUGCUUUAGUUAGUUUUAAUGAAAUGGUUCAUUGGCUCAACUUCUAUUUAGCUUACUAUAGUAUAGUCGUGUGGAUUGUCGGUGAUGAAUAAUACCCAAUGCAUUGUUUCCUAUUGCCCAGUGUUCUACAGUUAAAUAUGCAGAACUUGAGCUUUGUUUGCCAAGAAAAUGUCUGUUAGUUCCCACAAGGAGUAAUUCAUUCCCCGUCCAAGUAUUUAUAUACAAUCAUUGAUACUUUAUUUGUUUAUGCUGCAGAGACGUGGUCACAUGGAUGAUUAUCAUCUUUUGGCAAAAGCAUGUUAAUUGACUGAAGAAAUAGUACUGCACCUAUGACUAUGAUCGUAGAUGUCCAGUCCUGAUUUUUGAGGACCAGUUUAGGAUGUGAUCAUUUGUGCGGAUUCAAAGCUGCUUGACAUGAUUUUUACUAAUCUGAACGUCGGGCAUAAUCAAUGUUAAGUAGGCUUCAUUGAAUUCUUAAUAAGGAAAUUACACAAUAUGAUGUGUCUGCCAUGGUAUUAGUGUUGUUUGAAGAAUUUCUUCUUCUUACCAAUUAGGCAGAUGCUUUAACUAUCGAUGCAGACCCUGUGCUGGAUGUUCAUCAGCAACGCCAGUCAGGGGUUCGGGCUCCUGUGGAGCUCAUGGGAUCAGUCAUAUGAACCUCAUGUAUUUGAUAGUUUUCUCCAUCACUUUUAUGCGUUCAACUAUAGAUAAUUAAGGCUACCCCACAAGUUCAUUGAGAUUUGUUUUUAUAGGACUUGGAUUAAUAAUCUCCAACAAUAUUGUUAUUGCCUCUUAUAUAUACUUUUAGUUCUAAUUACAUUUCAGAUUUUCUUUAUGCUGUACUACUAAACUGUGUGUUCUAAACCAAAGAUGACAUCUGCGUCUUUUUAUGCAUGCAUGUUUUAAGACAAUAUAUCUAAUAUGUAGUAUAUAGAAAGGUACCUAAAAUAUUAGCUUAUAUUGCCAACUCUUGAAAAUAUACGAUCCUUUUACAUUUUUUGCCGUGAACCUGGGGAGCUUGGCACGAAGUAUGGUGUCAAUAAUCAGUAUAUACCAGGACAAUAUUUCAACAAUGACGUUGCUUGGCUCAAUACUUCCUUCACCACCAAUCUAGCCGCAAACUCUGUUUCUCCUUGAAUGUAGGUCCACAAAGGUUGUGCUUUCUGUGCAUCUAAAAGUAAGGUUACUAUCAUAAUUACAGUAAAGCUUCUUCUCUAUUCAAAUUGAAUUUGAUAAGCAACAAAGUCCUCUGUGUCAUGCUUCAGUUAUAUGGCUCGAGCUGGCCAAACCUGAAAUGUUCGGUGAAGAUUCAAAGUACAUCUAGAUUACUUUGUGUUGCCCACAAUCCUAUUACUUGAUUUUUUUGCUAACUAUCUCUAUGGAUAAAUCUGCAAGAUGAUGCAAAAAAGUUGCAUGCAGAUAGGCUAUGUACAGACAUGCAUGGUGUAAGUUUAUACCUUUUACAAUAUUGAGAUUUGUUCAGAUGCUUCUAAGCAGUGCUCUAGCAGAACGGUGCUACAUUUCCUUACUGUUGUUGCCAAAUAUUUGUUUUGUGGCAUAUCAAGACUGGACGGCAUCAUUCUAAUGACCUCACCCUAGGAGUUCACUUCUACACGGUCAUGGCAUCCGCCUCCACCAAUUAUCUAGAGGUAAUUGAUUUGGUGCCCUCCGUUGGAUGAAGAUGCUCUAUUAUGUGUGGUUUAGUCGCAUGUGGUUCAUGCAAGCUGCCCUGAAGUUUUUAUUGGCAUUGGAUAGAGAUGAGAAAAAUCUAUUUAUGCUUACAAUUUUGUGUGCCUUUUUCUAGCAGUUAAGUUCUAGAGACGAUCGGGGAGGUCAACUUUGAGCUGCAGCACCCUAUGUGUUCACGCAAUCGGAACGCCCGAAAUAUCACGCCAAUAUGAGGGACGCCCGAAAUAUGAAGCCAAUAUGUGAUUUAUGCCUUUUCUGUUAGGUAUGUGAUCAUUGAUUCAUAUGAUUAGUUGGUACUUAGGAACAUGCAAACCCCUAUUUUCCAUCAUAAUCCAGAAGGUCCAAAUUUUAAAUAUGGAUGUUAAGCUAAUGAGGAGAACCUUUUUCGCUCGGACAUCAUAUUUUUUUAGGUAGGCGAUCACUAGUUCAUUAUGAUUAGUCGAUAUUUCUAAACAGGGGAAGCCAUGGUGUCCACAAGGCUCAAGCAAGUCAGAUUUCUGAUAUAGAUUUUAAAUGAUCAAGACAACCUAAGUGGCUCUUUGCUUGGCCACCAUUGCCAAUAUUUAUAGAGCAGUUUUCAAAUAUGCAAAUGUCCAACCCAUUAAAACACCCUCUUAGGUUCAUACGCAUAAGCAACUUCCAGUAUUUUGUGAGAGUGCAUUUUAAAAUGAUUUGCAUAACUUCUGAUGAGGAUAAUCAUAAAAUGCACAAAGCGUUUUAAAUUAUUUUUCCAAUUUUGUAAAUACUGAAUCAAAAUAUCAAAUAAAUAUUUUUUAGGUUCAUUAAUAAAGAUAGAGUGGCAGUGACAAGUAUUAGAUGUUCCAUAUCUCUAUUAGCUUUCCCUAAAUAUAAAAUACUAAAAAGGUCAGAGUGGUGAGAGCUACUUCAUUGGUAUUUUAAUGUGUCUUCACAUUAUAAAAUACAACUCAUGGUCUUGCAGGAUUAUCUCCCUUCUCCACAGCUAAUUGCUUGAUGUGUUCAAUGGUCCAGUUGAAUUGGAUACAAGCAUGCUACAAAUCUAACAGUAAUUUAAUAAGGUAUUUGAUGAGCUCCUGUCAUUCUAAUCUACUGCCCACAUUUUACUGUUGAUGUUAUUUAGUACUCUGUAGUGAGCAUAAGAAAUAGUACUAUGGGGAGAACCAGGCAACACCUAAUAUGUGUGUCGUUUGAGAAAACUGAAACUUCCUACUUUCCAACUGUUGAUUGCACAUGUACAUGUAUAAAAGACACUAUCUAAGACAAAUAUAUGAUUCACUAGGUUUAGUGAAAGUUAGCUUAAAUACCAUGUAUUUUUCUGCACAUAGAUUAUUGCCUACUGUAGAUCAUCCUCUGUACAUCUAUUAGUCUAAUAGUCAAGCAGGACGAAAAACAUCACUCCAGUAAUGCCUUUGCUCCAUAAGAGCUAACAAUUGUUAAAAAAACAAAUCACAGACUAAUGAUUUCAUUUGUUUGCAGGAAUAGGCACUGUAUUUUUCACUAUUAUGCAAAAACAACUUUAAGUCAUGAUUUUUUUUAAAUAUUUUUUCAUGAAAGAUCUCGAGGGUGAGAAAAUUAUCAUCAUAUUCAGAAGAAUAUUAGCUUGAGUACCAUAUAGAGGGUGACAAAAGUGGGGCUCUUACGUCAAUUUUCUUAUUCAGUUGGUACACUACAUGUAGCAAACUCAUUCAUUGUAAAGGAAUGAAUGGUAUCGUUUAUCAUGCCAUGGAAGUAUGGUCUGAAGUUGCCUUACUCUUAGGACUUUUUUUCAACAUCUAUGAGCUGACUAGCAAAAUUAUGGCAACUGCAGUCACAUCAGGCAUAAUACAAUGCGUAGGGCCAUCACCUAGCUCCAUAAAUCUUAAUCUCAUUUUCAGUGAUUGUUGUUUUGCUAUCUUAGUCAUUGAUGAUGAAGGAAUGUAGAAACCACAUGUUGGGUACAAUAUUUAACCAUACAAUUUCUGCUAGAAGCCAUCAUAAUCCACUCCUCCCCCCUAUUUUUCUUACAGCAAACCUAUAGAUAUCAACUAACCACAAGCUUAGCCUGUGGUAUAUUGCAUAAAUAUCUAGCUUAUGGAAAGCCUGGUAAGUGGAGCAAUGGAGCAAUGGAGCGCCUUCUAACUAGCAGUGCCCACUUCACUGUUUUGUACAUAGAUGAGAAGUUUGCUUGCUGCCCCUCAUCUAAUAUUAUAUGUUUCUGUUCCAUGUGGAACUAAGAGUUCACAUCUCUAGCUUCUACUGCUUUAUUGUUGUACACAGAAGCUUUUGUAACCUGCCACCACAUUUGUAGGCAGGUUUCAAUAAAAGUAUUAGAUUACAUUUUUCCACAUUAAUCCAGUAUUCAGUAACGGGUUUUUGGUUCUAUUUCUAUUGCAAACCAGUUCAUUCUUCGCAAACAAGAAACUCUACAUGCUGUGGAGAACCACUUCUACAACAGAUUAGGUUACUUGGUGGGAAGAAAUUGGCAUGGGCCAAAACUCAGUCUGUCUCACGUGAGUUUACACUAUUACAAAAAAUUACUACAGAUGUAGAACAAGCCUGCGGGAAUUUUGCGUCUUGACUAUCUGUCAUAUUUUAUAACUGUCAUACUUUGUAGUGCUUAUAACGGGGGAUAGAUUCUGAGAUGUACUACUACUGAUGUGACCAAGGAUGCCCAGUUUCUUUACAUGAUAUUGAGUACUGCAACUUCAAGGCUUCUUCAACUCAUGUCUGCUUAAUUCAUUUUUUGGAAUCUAAUUAUAAUAAAAAGAUGUUCUUCAAUAUAAAAUAUUCUUCGAGACAUAAGUGGCGCAAGAAAAUCAUACUAAAUUUUGUAAGUGCUAGACCUCAUGCAUAUUGCCAUAUAGGUUUGCUGCGGUGGUUCGUGUAUGUAUCGAUAGAAUAAAAGUGGUUCGUGUAUGUAUUAAUAAAAUAAAAUUGCAUCGAACCCUAUACGAUUAGCUUCAACCCAGAAUGACAUUAUGAAGUGUGUAGUCAAACUAUAGUUAUCUUUGGCACCUAUGUUAAAAAUGCUAUUUUGAUUUGCUAGGUCAAAAUAAAACUUCAAAUUAUAUAUACUUCCUCCAUCCAUAUAUAAAGGGCCUAUAUGUUUCUUAAAGUUGCAUUUGACCAUUGAUAAGAUUAAUAAUAUAUGAGAUGUAUGAUAUAAAUAUAUAUCAUUACAAACUCCUUCCACAUGCAAAUGUGAUGAUAUGCUUUGUCUAACAUGCAUGCUAUAUAUAAUUAUUCUAACACGUGGUCAAUGUAAACUCAAAAAACGUAUUAGACCC